rnacentral:rRNA from 1 species
AUUGCACGCUGGCGGCAGGCCUAACACAUGCAAGUCGAGCGAGCGGCGGACGGGUGAGUAAUGUAUGGGGACUGCCCGAUAGAGGGGGAUAACUACUGGAAACGGUAGCUAAUACCGCAUACUAUCGGAUAACCCAUAGGGGAUGAGCUAGUAGGUGAGGUAAUGGCUCACCUAGGCGACGAUCCGUAGCUGGUUUGAGAGGACGACCAGCAACACUGGGACUGAGACACGGCCCGGACUCCUACGGAGGCAGCAGUGGGGAAUUUUGGACAAUGGAGGAAACCCUGAUCCAGCCAUCCCGCGUGUAUGAUGAAGGCCUUCGGGUUGUAAAGUACUUUUGGCAGAGAAGCGGUAUCUGCAGAAUAAGCACCGGCUAACUACGUGCCAGCAGCCGCGGUAAUUC